GACGAACGCUGGCGGCGUGCUUAACACAUGCAAGUCGAACGGAAAGGCCCUGCUUUUGUGGGGUGCUCGAGUGGCGAACGGGUGAGUAACACGUGAGUAACCUGCCCUUGACUUUGGGAUAACUUCAGGAAACUGGGGCUAAUACCGGAUAGGAGCUCCUGCUGCAUGGUGGGGGUUGGAAAGUUUCGGCGGUUGGGGAUGGACUCGCGGCUUAUCAGCUUGUUGGUGGGGUAGUGGCUUACCAAGGCUUUGGCGGGUAGCCGGCCUGAGAGGGUGACCGGCCACAUUGGGACUGAGAUACGGCCCAGACUCCUACGGGAGGCAGCAGUGGGGAAUAUGGCACAAUGGGCGGAAGCCUGAUGCAGCAACGCCGCGUGCGGGAUGACGGCCUUCGGGUUGUAAACCGCUUUCGCCUGUGACGAAGCGUGAGUGACGGUAAUGGGUAAAGAAGCACCGGCUAACUACGUG
rnacentral:rRNA from 1 species